GGAAAGCUUUAGUGCUUUGAGAGGGGCCUACGGCCGAUUAGCUAGUUGGUGAGGUAAAGGCUCACCAAGGCGAUGAUCGGUAGCUGGUCUGAGAGGACGAUCAGCCACACGGGAACUGAGACACGGUCCCGACUCCUACGGGGGGCAGCAGUGAGGAAUAUUCGGCAAUGGGGGCAACCCUGACCGAGCAACGCCGCGUGGAGGAUGACGGUUUUCGGAUUGUAAACUCCUUUUCUCAGGGAAGAGCGAGGACGGUACCUGGGGAAUAAGUCACGGCUAACUACGUGCCAGCAGCCGCGGUAAUACGUAGGUGGCAAGCGUUAUCCGGAAUUACUGGGCGUAAAGCGCACGCAGGUGGCUGCUUAAGUCUGACGUGAAAGCUCCUGGCUUAACUGGGGAGAGGUCGUUGGAGACUGGGCGGCGUUGAGGCGAGGAGGAGGGGUGUAGAAUUCCCGGUGUAGUGGUGGAAUGCGUAGAGAUCGGGAGGAAUACCAGUGGCGAAAGCGGCACCCUGGCCUUGGCCUGACGCUCAGGUGCGAAAG
rnacentral:rRNA from 1 species